rnacentral:rRNA from 1 species
AUUGAACGCUGGCGGCAUGCCUUACACAUGCAAGUCGAACGGCAGCACGGGUGCUUGCACCUGGUGGCGAGUGGCGAACGGGUGAGUAAUACAUCGGAACGUACCUUAUCGUGGGGGAUAACGCAGCGAAAGUUGCGCUAAUACCGCAUACGCCCUGAGGGGGAAAGCGGGGGACCGUAAGGCCUCGCGCGAUUAGAGCGGCCGAUGUCUGAUUAGCUUGUUGGUGAGGUAAAAGCUCACCAAGGCGAUGAUCAGUAGCUGGUCUGAGAGGACGAUCAGCCACACUGGGACAGAGACACGGCCCAGACUCCUACGGGAGGCAGCAGUGGGGAAUUUUGGACAAUGGGGGCAACCCUGAGCCAGCAAUGCCGCGUGAGUGAAGAAGGCCUUCGGGUUGCAAAGCUCUUUUGUCAGGGAAGAAACAGCAGCUCUAACACAGUCUGCGAAUGACGGUACCUGAAGAAUAAGCACCGGCUAACUACGUGCCAGCCGCCGCAGUAA